UGGAACUCUUCGUUGAAAUAUCUUUCAUCUCUUUAUUCCUCUCCUCUUCCUAUUGCUGUUCUCCACUCCUUUCCUCUCUCUCAGCCGCAAGGACUUGCCCUCUGCGCGAGUGGGGGUGGGGGCAAGCUGGGGAUGGCCGCAGAGCGGGGAGCGGGAGCCGGAGACCGCCGGAUCUGGCUUUGUUAUUGGUCGGCUGCUGCCUGAUGGAUGGACGAGGGAGGAGUGAACUCUUCAGUCUGUUCCGACGGAGCUGAAGUACAGAAACCAUCUUUACAGGUUGGGCUAGCCACAGAAAAUCAAUAUCUGUCAUCAGUCAUUAUCCAGUGUUUCAAAAUUCAAUGUUUAUGCACCACACCCAGUGCUCCCAGUCCUCCGUGUUAUUCCUUAUGCUCCACAACUAUAAUGCAAGAUUCUGCAAUACGUAAUAAAACAUACCAAUGGAGGAGGUAGAUGUGAACGGUUUUGAGGAGAGCACGGUAGUGCUCAUUUUACCACAUUCUACCACUAUACCACAGCCGUUAGCCCCGCUUCACAGGUGAGAAAACGUCGGCUCAGAGAAAUUAAGUGACUAGCUGAAAAACUCCUAUUUACAAAAUGGUGAAACCAAAUUUUUAAGCAACUGGCUUCCGUCUUUUCAUCAUCCAUGAUUCCUAAUGGUUCCUGGGACUCUCUUUUUUAAGAUAGCUUUUGGAAAUGUUAACGAUUAGCCUCGUUUAAAUCUUCUGCAGUAAGUAUCACUGCUUUACUGUACCUGAAGGCAAAUUAGUGGUGACAGUAGCAACACUGAUUGCUUUUUUCUCCUAAGCUUUUUCCAGUGCUGGCCUCUCAGAUAUUCAAUUUCAAAGUAACAGAUGUGUUUUUAAUUGGAGAUCAAGAUUAUCACCACAAAUUCAGAUUAAAGAAAUUCUUCCCAGUUCCCUAUUAACCCAACGAAUGGCUCCAUAAUCUUUGGAACUAGCAUUUCUCCAGACUCUACAGCCCAUGGUAGUUUCUACUACCUCUUGCUCUCUGCAGUUAAAUCCUUGAUAAGAAUCAAUGCCGAUCUCUCAAGUCACUUAAUUGUCCAUUUCUCUUUUGGGGAUUGCCUUCUAUCCUUCUCAGACUCUUGUCCUUUGCCCUACUUUCCCUCCAUAUUCCCAGGACCUUCCAUUCAUUUUUUUCACCUUUAUUAUGUCUCAAUCUCUAGCCCCAGCAACCUACUCCACUCUUGUUCUAGUAUUUGUCAAUUAACCUCACUAAUCAACCCAA
rnacentral:lncRNA from 1 species